GACAUGCUAGUCGCGUGCUUCAGCCAAAACGAGGCACGGCAAACAGCUCAGUAACACGUGGCUAAUCUGCCCUUAGGACGAGAAUACCCCCGGGAAACUGGGGCUAAUUCUCGAUAGGUGAAGAACUCUGGAAUGAGUCUUUGCCUAAAAGAGCUUACGUUAUGCUCGUAAGUUUCGCCUAAGGAUGAGGCCGCGACCGAUCAGGUUGUUGGUGAGGUAAUGGCUCACCAAGCCUUUUACCGGUGCGGGCCGUGAGAGCGGGAGCCCGGAGAUGGGCACUGAGACAAGGGCCCAGGCCCUACGGGGCGCAGCAGUCGCGAAAACUUUGCAAUACACGAAAGUGUGACAGGGCUAUCCCGAGUGCCAUCCGCUGAGGAAGGCUUUUACCCAGUCUAGAACGCUGGGGGAAUAAGGAGAGGGCAAGUCUGGUGUCAGCCGCCGCGGUAAUACCAGCUCUCCGAGUGGUGUGGAUGUUUAUUGGGCCUAAAGCAUCCGUAGCUGGCUAAGUUAGUCCUUUGUUAAAUCCACCGAAUUAAUCGUUGGAUCGCGGGGGAUACUGCUUGGCUAGGGGACGAGAGAGGCAGACGGUAUUUUUGGGGUAGGGGUGAAAUCCUAUAAUCCCAGGAAGACCACCAGUGGCGAAGGCUGUCUGCUAGAACGCGCCCGACGGUGAGGGAUGAAAGCUGGGGGAGCGAACCGGAUUAGAUACCCGGGUAGUCCCAGCUGUAAACGAUGCAGCUAGGUGUUUGGACGGCCACGUGCCGUUCUAGUGCCGCAGGAAGCUGUUAAGCCUGCCGCCUGGGGAGUACGAUCGCAAGAUUGAAACUUAA
rnacentral:rRNA from 1 species